UACGUAGGAUCCAAGCGUUGUCCGGAUUUACUGGGCGUAAAGGGAGCGUAGGCGGACAUUUAAGUCAGGGGUGAAAUCCCAGAGCUCAACUCUGGAACUGCCUUUGAUACUGGGUGUCUUGAGUGUGAUAGAGGUAUGUGGAACUCCGAGUGUAGAGGUGAAAUUCGUAGAUAUUCGGAAGAACACCAGUGGCGAAGGCGACAUACUGGAUCAUUACUGACGCUUAGGCUCGAAAGCGUGGGGAGCAAACAGG
rnacentral:rRNA from 1 species